UGUGUGUGUGUGUGUGUGAUGACCUAAGAUGAUUUUGGUGUUAUUUUCUUCUGUAGUAUCUGUGGAAUAAACUGCAGAUCAUUUUGUGGAUGGGUGUGUAAGAGAUCAGACUCAUCUGAUCCACCUUUGCAGCUCCAAUAUGGAUGACGCACAGACAUCCAGUGAUGGAGACUUUUGUCCAGGAAUCAGUUCAGUCCAGCAGAAGAGAACAGGAUCAGCAGAGCCCAGCUGUGUGUCUAUGAGGAGCGAUCAGUCUAUGAAUCCACCACUGUUUUUUAAUGAUGGAAACACAUUACCUGGCUGCAAGUCCAAUAUUUCUGCAAACACAUGUUCAGUCAAGCCUAUGAGAACAGAAUCAGCAGAGCCCAGCUGUGUGUCAAUGAAGAGUGAUCAGUCUAUGAACCCACCACUGUUUUUUAAUGAUGGAAACACAUCAUCUAGCAGCAGAAAGAGAAAACACUGCAUGAAGAUGAAUCUACCAAAACCCAGCCAUGUUCCUGUGAAGAGGGACUGUUCAGUGGAUCAGCCAAUACUUUCCACUGGUGGAAACGCUGCCUGCUGCCAUGAAGUCCUCAACACGUUUAAAUCAAAUCUGAAGAAUAAGUUUCAGUGCCUUUAUGAGGGAACAGCGACGCAGGGAAACCCAACACUCCUGAAUGAG
ensembl:lncRNA